rnacentral:rRNA from 1 species
CCCCUAGAUGUUCUGGGCCGCACGCGCGCUACACUGAACAGUUCAACAAGUCUUAACCUUGGCCGAUAGGUCUGGGUAAUCUUUGAACGCUGUUCGUGACUGGGAUAGACCUUUGCAAUUAUGGGUCUUCAACGAGGAAUUCCUAGUAAACGCAAGUCAUCAGCUUGCGUUGAUUACGUCCCUGCCCUUUGUACACACCGCCCGUCGCACCUACCGAUUGAAUGGUCCGGUGAAAUCUCGGGACGGCGGCUUGGUCGCUUGCGUCCGACUGCUGAAACUUGAUUAAACCAUAUCAUUUAGAGGAAGGUGAAGUCGUAACA